rnacentral:rRNA from 1 species
AUUGAACGCUGGCGGCAGGCCUAACACAUGCAAGUCGAACGGUAACAGGAAGAAGCUUGCUUCUUUGCUGACGAGUGGCGGACGGGUGAAUAAUGUCUGGGGAACUGCCUGAUGGAGGGGGAUAACUACUGGAAACGGUAGCUAAUACCGCAUAACGUCGCAAGACCAAAGAGGGGGACCUUCGGGCCUCUUGCCAUCGGAUGUGCCCAGAUGGGAUUAGCUAGUAGGUGGGGUAACGGCUCACCUAGGCGACGAUCCCUAGCUGGUCUGAGAGGAUGACCAGCCACACUGGAACUGAGACACGGUCCAGACUCCUACGGGAGGCAGCAGUGGGGAAUAUUGCACAAUGGGCGCAAGCCUGAUGCAGCCAUGCCGCGUGUAUGAAGAAGGCCUUCGGGUUGUAAAGUACUUUCAGCGGGGAGGAAGGGAGUAAAGUUAAUACCUUUGCUCAUUGACGUUACCCGCAGAAGAAGCACCGGCUAACUCCGUG